AUCGAGGCGUUGACGCCAGCCAAAUCGAACCCUUUGUUUUUUCUUUUGUUUCUUUCUUUUCCGCGCGUGCCGAACGUAAUUCGGUUCUGCCGACCGUGCGCAGUAGCAGAGAACUUCGUUUUAUCUUUUCGUCUUCUUUGCGACUGCGUCGACAGAACUCUUUUGCUUUGUUCUUUGCUAUUUGCAAUCGUCACACGGAGUUUUAAUAAGUGAAAAUAAGUAAUCUGUGAUUAUUAUUAUUAUCAGCUGCGGUGAAGAUGAAAAUACCCCACGAGCCAGCAGAAAAAGUGAUUCGGAAGGCUAUUCACAAUAUUAAGAAUAGCUAUUUUCAAAAGGGCGCAAGGGACAAAAAAUACCAAGCUCUGGCAUCCUUAGACAAUAAUUAAUAAUAAUUUUUAAUAAAUAAAACUAAUUGGAAAAAUAAA